AACGUAGGACGCAAGCGUUAUCCGGAGUUACUGGGCGUAAAACGCUUGUAGGCGGCCACGCCAAGUCGGACGUGAAAGCUCCCGGCUUAACUAGGAGAGGUCAAGGGAAACUGUCGAGCUAGAGUGUGGUAGAGGUAACUGGAAUUCCCGGUGUAGUGGUGAAAUGCGUAGAUAUCGGGAGGAAUACCAGUGGCGAAGGCGGCUUCUUGGCCUGUUCUUGACGCUGAGGCGGCGAAAGCUGGGGGAGCAACGGGG
rnacentral:rRNA from 1 species